AGAACGAACGCUGGCGGCGCGUUUUAAGCAUGCAAGUCGGACGGCAAGGUUGGUAGCAAUAUCGACCCUAGAGUGGCGAACGGGUGAGUAACACGUAGGUGAUCUACCUCUGGAUGGGGGAUAGCCCGUGGAAACACGGGGUAAUACCGCAUGAGGCCUUGUGGGUGAAGCCAUGAGGUGAAAGGUGCAAUUGCAUCGUCUGGGGAUGAGCCUGCGGUCCAUUAGUUAGUUGGCGGGGUAACGGCCCACCAAGACGACGAUGGAUAGCCGGCCUGAGAGGGUGGACGGCCACACUGGAACUGAGACACGGUCCAGACUCCUACGGGAGGCAGCAGCUAAGAAUCUUCCGCAAUGGGGGAAACCCUGACGGAGCGACGCCGCGUGGAUGAUGAAGGCCGUAAGGUUGUAAAAUCCUUUUGUCGGUGAAGAAUAAGGGAGGGAGUGGAAAGCCCUCCUGAUGACGUUAGCCGAUGAAUAAGCCCCGGCUAAUUACGUGCCAGCAGCCGCGGUAAUACGUAUGGGGCAAGCGUUGUUCGGAUUUAUUGGGCGUAAAGGGCGUGUAGGCGGCUCAUCAAGUCUGGUGUGAAAUCGCAGGGCUUAACCCUGCAUAUGCGCUGGAAACUGGUGGGCUUGAGUUCUUGAGGGGAAGCUGGAAUUCCAGGUGUAGGGGUGAAAUCUGUAGAUAUCUGGAAGAACACCGGUGGCGAAGGCGAGCUUCUAUCAGAGGACUGACGCUGAGGCGCGAAAGCGUGGGGGGCAAACAGGAUUAGAUACCCUGGUAGUCCACGCUGUAAACGAUGUGCACUAGGCGUGGGGCCCGUACGGGUUCUGUGCCGUAGUUAACGUGUUAAGUGCACCGCCUGGGGAGUAU
rnacentral:rRNA from 1 species